GGGCCGGUAGCUAAAUGGUUACGGCAGCUCGCUCAUAACGAGACGAUCUGGGGGUUCGAGUCCCUCCCGGCCCACCA
rnacentral:tRNA from 3 species